AUGAUGGAACGACGGCGACGGUUAUCGGCGAGGGAAAGAGUGGAUCUUAAGGAGAGCGGGGGUUUGUUGAGUAGCAGCACAAAAUACGAUUACGGUUUCGUUUCGCUCCUAAAUUCAUGCUUGUGUAUGUAUUUUACCAUUCGUGACAGUAGGCGGAGGAAAAUCGUCGAAGAACGGGUCGUGACAGUCGAAAAUGGGUCGGCGAAAAUGGGAGGGAUGAAGCGGCGGUCGGCGAAAAUGGGUCGGAAAAUGGCAAAUGAACAGUUUUCUGGAAUAAAAGAAAAUUCUGUUUAUAACUUUUUACAUCGGUGGAAUAUUUGA